rnacentral:lncRNA from 1 species
GACGGAGUCUCGCUCUGUCGCCCAGACUGGAGUGCAGUGGCGCAAUCUCGGCUCACUGCAAGCUCUGUCUUCCGGGUUCAUGCCAUUCUCCUGCCUCAGCCUCCUGAGUAGCUGGGACUACAGGCGCCCGCCAUUACGCCCGGCUAAUUUUAUUUUAUUUUAUUUUUAGUAGAGACAGGGUUUCACUGUGUUAGCCAGGAUGGUCUGUGUCUCCUGACCUCGUGAUCCACCCGCCUCGGCCUCCCAAAGUGCUGGGAUUACAAAAUGCGUGAGCCACCACGCCCGGCUGAUGGUUUUAUUAAUAUAAGGGACUUUAACCCUUUGCUCAGGACUUCUACUUGCUGCUGCCAUGUGAAGAAGGACAUAUUUGCUUCCCCUUUCACCAUGAUUGUAAGUUUCCUGAGGCCUCCCCAGCCCUGCAGAACUCUUCUAUUGCAGAUGUGAAGUUUAGCAUUUCUUUGCUCACUCUUUUACUGGGAAACUCUUCUAGCGGAAAGCCUGUCAUCUGUUGUGAAGGAGAGCUGGUGUUGACUUGAAGCAACAGAGUUGGUGGUCCAGUGGCCAUUGUCCUGUGUUAGGAGCAGGUGGUCUCGCUAAGCUCCAUGUGUUUGGAAAUUUCUCUGACCAGUGCUUGUUCUGCUAAAGGAAGAAGAGCUCAAGCUGCACUCCUUGUUUCCAGGAUCCCAUCCAGAAUACAUUACCUUUAGUCAUCAUGUCUCCUGUGGCUCUUCUUGGCUGUGACAGUUUCUCAGCUUUCCCAGUUUUAAUGAACUUGCCAUUUUCAUCAGAUUGUACCAAGACCUACUAUCAAUAUGACUUAUGACUAGUGGUGCUGACCUUGAUCACCUGGCUGAGGUAGUUCUUGUCAGGCUUCUCCACUGUCGAGUUGCUCUCCCCAUCCCCCUUUUCCAUAUUGUACUCUUUGAAAGAAAGUCACUAUAUGCAGCCCUUCCUUAAAAAUAUUAAAAUGAACUAGCUUAAUUAAGUUCUUUCUUACA